UAAACACCAAUCAAUUGGAACUUCACAAACAAUAUAAGUUUUAGAAUUUGACAAAGUGGGGAAGCUGAUAAAAUUGUGAAAAGACUGAUGCAAAGGAGCUCAAAAUGAUACAGCAGUCCAGCAGCCAAGGGAUAAACAUGUUUCUAGGGCUUUGGCAAAGAGUAAAUUUCACCACUGUAACACGUACUUUAGCACUGAAGGCUAAGAAGACGAGACUUGUUAUCUGUUGUUUCAUUAAUAAUGUGUUGUGAUUAAACAACGAUUAAGCACCAAUCCACAAACUAAAAAUUCAUAAUUGUACCACAGCUCUUCACAGGGCAUGCCAAAAUUUGUAUCUGUUGCUCGAAAGGAUCAUGGAAGGAUGGGGAGCUCAACUUUGUUGAAUGUGAAAAAGCUCAAACGUCCAUGCUCAACAAGACAGAAUUUCAACGGAAUACCAUGAGAAUGUCUCUCAAGAUCUUCAAUUUCUUCUUUGGAGGGCGGAUACUCACUAGCAAGACAAAGUACAAAACAGGGAUCACCAGGAGCAGACUUUCUGAAUCUGCUAUUAGGAGGGUAAACGUCAAAGGCCAGUUUCAAUCCACCAAUCUGCAUAUUAUUAAUCAUUUCAUAGAUGAGAAUGCUGUUUCUUGAUUCUUCAUCUCCACUUUGAGCAGGCUCCAGCGUGUCUUGGUUAACAAUACUAUUUGCUUUUGACCUUCUUCGUGACCAAGGAAUCCCAUGACGCCCAACUAUAUAACCAAGAGAUUUCAAGUGCUUAUAUGCUUCAUAAUAUUCCAAGGAACAUCCAUUUUUUCCUUUUGCAACCUUGUUGUAUACAUGUUCCAGAGAAAUGGGCGUGUCAUCUUCACUGAGGAGAUGUAAAGCCCCAAUUUUUGCAAGAUAUCUAAGAAGGAAGCAGCGGCGUCUGGCGGCUGCUGCUUUUCUUGAUACGCGGAGUCGCUGUAGCAGAGUUUUCGUCAGUCGGAGGUUCGCUGGGCGUUGGAGUUGUUGGCGCUGCUACUGCCGUCCUCGACGAGCUGCUGCUGUUCGCGGUUGCUGCUACUGCUCAGAGAAAAAGAGAAGAAGAGGAUAUGGGGAGAGGGAGAAGAAAGGAAAAGAGGGAGGCGGAAGAAGAGAAGAGGGAGAGACGGGAGAGGGGAGAAAGACGAAGGAAGGGAGGAAACAGGGGAGAGAGAGAUGGUCGUUUGUUGCUCGGGCUGCUGGUGGGCCGUUGCUGUCCAUGCCGGUCGCUGCUGCUGGCGGUUGUCUCCGGUUG
rnacentral:misc_RNA from 1 species